UAGUUUGGUAUCAAAGCCUUAUCAUGGGUAAAAGAUCAGAUGUCUAGAAGAUUUCCAUAGAUCGAUAUUGUAACGCCCUGAGUCUAUACGCCGGAUGCUACACGGUGCUCGUAAUCUCAAAGGACCACUAGAUAACCCAUGACCGGUACCUUUUACAAUAACUGCAUAAUAAAUAUUAUAAUGCUUGCAGAAAUAGGAGGAAAAAUAUGUCAUAAGGUUCAAAUCUGUAAAUAAAUUUG
rnacentral:lncRNA from 1 species